rnacentral:rRNA from 1 species
GUGGUCAAGCUAGUAAGGGCGGACGGAGGAUGCCUAGGCGCCGGGAAGCGACGAAGGACGUGGCAAGCUGCGAAAAGCCGCGGGGAGCCGCAAGCAGGCCGAGAGCCGCGGAUAUCCGAAUGGGGGAACCUGGGCGGGGUCAUGCCCGCUCGUGGCUGGCUGAAUAGAUAGGCUAGCGCACGCGAACCGAGGGAACUGAAACAUCUCAGUACCUCGAGGACAAGAAAUCAAGCGAGAUGGCCCGAGUAGCGGCGAGCGAAAGGGCUGGAGCCUAAACCAGGGUCGAGCGAUCGGCCCUGGGGUUGCGGGGCUCGUACGGGGGCAACCCGGGGAGUCAGAAAGUCAGCCGCCAGUCGAAGGCCGUGGGAGCGGCCACCACAGAGGGUGACAGUCCCGUAGACGAAGGCGAGCUGGCCUCCCUGGUACGAGUACCCAAGUACCACGGGGCACGUGCAAUCCCGUGGGAAUCCGGGGGGACCACCCUCCAAGGCUAAACAUUCCCCGGCGACCGAUAGUGAACGAGUACCGUGAGGGAAAGGCGAAAAGAACCCCGGUGAGGGGAGUGAAAGAGAACCUGAAACCGUCUGCCUACAAGCGGUGGGAGGGCAAUACGCGGGGGGAGACUCCCGUGGAGGCCUGACCGCGUGCCUUUUGCAUAAUGAGCCGGCGAGUAACGGGGUGUGGCGAGGUUAAGGGCGGGAGGCCCGGAGCCGGAGCGAAAGCGAGUCCGAAGAGGGCGGAAAGUCGCACACCGUUGACCCGAAGCCGAGUGAGCUACCCCUGGCCAGGGUGAAGCCGCUGUAAGAGGCGGUGGAGGCCCGAACCGGUGUUGGUUGAAAACAGCUCGGAUGAGCUGGGGGUGGGAGUGAAAGGCUAAUCAAACUCGGAGAUAGCUGGUUCUCCCCGAAAUAGCUUUAGGGCUAGCCUCGGACGUGAGGGCGGGUGGUAGAGCACUGAAUGGGCUAGGGGCCCGACCAGGUUACCAACCCCAAUCAAACUGCGAAGGCCCGUUCAUCGAAGUCCGGGAGUCAGACGACGUGGGAUAAGCUGCGUGGUCGAGAGGGCAACAACCCAGAUCGUCAGCUAAGGUCCCGAAGUGAGUGCUGAGUGGGAAACGAUGUGGCGGCGCGCAGACAGCCAGGAGGUUGGCUUAGAGGCAGCCAUCCUUUAAAGAGUGCGUAACAGCUCACUGGUCAAGCGGCGCUGCGCGGACAAUUCAACGGGGCUAAGCACUCCACCGACGCUGCGGCUUGCGGAGGGAGACCUCCGGAGGGGUAGGGGAGCAUUCCGCGCUAGGGAGAAGGCCGACCGCGAGGACGGCUGGACGAGGCGGAAGCGAGAAUGCCGGCACGAGUAGCGAGAACGCAGGUGAAAACCCUGCGCGCCGAAAGCCCAAGGGUUCCUGGGGAAGGUCAAUCCGCCCAGGGUUAGGCGGCCCCUAAGCGGAGGCCGAGAGGCGUACGCGAAGGACAACAGGUGAACAGUCCUGUUCCGCGGGUUGGGCGUUUGAGCGAUGGGGGGACGGAGGAGGCUAAGCACCGCCGGGGGGUGGAAAUCCCGGUCCAAGUGCGUAGGGUGUCGCUGCAGGAAAAUCCGCAGUGGCGCGGGCGAGCCGCAAGCCUGAAACACGAUGGGGAGCCCUUCGGGGCACAAACGGGCUGAGGCCAGACUUCCCAGAAAAACCUCUAGCGAGUCCGACCGGCGACCGUACCGGAAACCGACACAGGUGGGCGAGGAGAAGAUCCACAGGCGCUC